GGAGGGCUAAUGUUGUUGG
rnacentral:siRNA from 1 species